CUUCCGACGAACAUAACUUCCUCAUUUUAAAUCGUUUUUCACCCGUUCUUCGAACGGCAUGGACAUCCCGGAUCCAAUUUCAUUUCUAAACAGAUUUGGCACAAAUCAGAGAUCCGUAGUCCAAGUUAUGUCCCGUCAAAGUAUGCCCAAAAACCAUAUUUUCAUACAAAACCACAAAGUGCCAUUUUCAAAACAAGCCACUUUCAACUCUUUUCAAAANN
rnacentral:lncRNA from 1 species